rnacentral:SRP_RNA from 1 species
GCUCGGAACCUGUGCAAUUCCAGCCUGUGAACCGCGUCAGGGCCGGAAGGCAGCAGCGCUAAGCAGUGCCUGGCAUGUGCCGCAGGCCCUUCCGGGCCGC